AUGCAAGUCGAGGGAAACGAUAGAGAAAGCUUGCUUUUUCUAGGCGUCGACCGGCGCACGGGUGAGUAACGCGUAUGCAACCUGCCCUUCACAGGGGGAUAACCGGGAGAAAUUCCGACUAAUACCGCAUACGUCCUCCGGGGGCAUCCCCGGGGGAUGAAAGAAUUAUCGGUGAAGGAUGGGCAUGCGUGAUAUUAGGUAGUUGGCGGGGCAACGGCCCACCAAGCCCACGAUAUCUAGGGGUUCUGAGAGGAAGGUCCCCACAUUGGUACUGAGACACGGACCAAACUCC
rnacentral:rRNA from 1 species